UACGUAGGGUGCAAGCGUUGUCCGGAAUUAUUGGGCGUAAAGAGCUUGUAGGCGGUUUGUCGCGUCUGCUGUGAAAUUUCGGGGCUCAACCCCGAACUUGCAGUGGGUACGGGCAGACUAGAGUGUGGUAGGGGAGACUGGAAUUCCUGGUGUAGCGGUGAAAUGCGCAGAUAUCGGGAAGAACACCCCGUGGCGAAGGCGGUUCUCUGGGACGGUACUGACGCUGAGACGCGAAAGCGUGGGGAGCGAACAGG
rnacentral:rRNA from 1 species